rnacentral:tRNA from 1 species
UAGUGUAGUGGUUAGCACAUCUGAUUUACACGCAGAAGGUCCUGGGUUCGUGCCCUAG